GACGAACGCUGGCGGCGCGCUUAACACAUGCAAGUCGAGCGAAGCGGCGGACGGGUGAGUAACACGUGAGUAACCUGCCUUAGACAUUGGGAUAGCCUCGGGAAACCGGGAUUAAUACCAAAUGGUCUAAGAUGGGCUCGCGUCCGAUUAGCUAGUUGGUAGGUAACGGCCCACCAAGGCGACGAUGGGUAGCCGGCCGGGGAGGGGGAACGGCCACAUUGGAACGGAGAAACGGUCCAAACUCUACGGGAGGCAGCAGUGGGGAAUAGUGCACAAUGGAGGGAACUCUGAGGCAGCGACGCCGGGGGAACGAAGAAGGCUUUCGAGUCGUAAAGUUCUUUUAUAUGGGAAGCGGUACCAUAAGAAAAAGCCCCGGCUAACUACGAGCCAGCCGCCGCGGUAAUUC
rnacentral:rRNA from 1 species